rfam:Camelus ferus isolate Naran unplaced genomic scaffold scaffold913, whole genome shotgun sequence.
GAGGAUAUAGCUCAAUGGUAGAGUGCAUGCUUCACAUACACAAGGUCCUGGGUUCAAUCCCCAGUACCUCU